rnacentral:rRNA from 1 species
AUUGAACGCUGGCGGCAUGCCUUACACAUGCAAGUCGAACGGUAACAGGUCUUCGGAUGCUGACGAGUGGCGAACGGGUGAGUAAUACAUCGGAACGUGCCUAGUAGUGGGGGAUAACUACUCGAAAGAGUGGCUAAUACCGCAUGAGAUCUACGGAUGAAAGCAGGGGAUCGCAAGACCUUGUGCUACUAGAGCGGCCGAUGGCAGAUUAGGUAGUUGGUGGGAUAAAAGCUUACCAAGCCGACGAUCUGUAGCUGGUCUGAGAGGACGAUCAGCCACACUGGGACUGAGACACGGCCCAGACUCCUACGGGAGGCAGCAGUGGGGAAUUUUGGACAAUGGGCGCAAGCCUGAUCCGGCAAUGCCGCGUGCAGGAUGAAGGCCUUCGUGUUGUAAACUGCUUUUGUACGGAACGAAAAGCCCCGGGUUAAUACCCUGGGGUCAUGACGGUACCGUAAGAAUAAGCACCGGCUAACUACGUGCCAGCCGCCGCAGUAA